UACGGAGGGGGCUAGCGUUAUUCGGAAUUAUUGGGCGUAAAGGGCGUGUAGGCGGCUCUGUGUGUCCGAUGUGAAAGCCCUCGGCUCAACCGGGGAACUGCAUGGGAAACUGCGGAGCUUGAGUCCGGGAGAGGUGAGUGGAAUUCCCAGUGUAGCGGUGAAAUGCGUAGAUAUUGGGAGGAACACCAGUGGCGAAGGCGGCUCACUGGACCGGUACUGACGCUGAGACGCGAAAGCCAGGGGAGCAAACGGG
rnacentral:rRNA from 1 species